AGUUGAGCUAGACUCUGGCUUUCACAGGCAGCGAGAUCAAGGGGGGGAGGAAAAGUCUCUCCUUUAAAAAAAAAAAAAAAAAAAAAGCGAUUUAAGCCCCUUUCCAGCGGCGCUUUCAAAACUAGAACUGCGAAGCUGGCUUCGGUUCGCGAUCCUCCUCUCUGGCUCCGGGCUGCGCGCAGAGUCUGGGUGGCGAGCGAAUGGUGCCUGCGAUCUUCUGCCUCGGGGAGCCGGCUGUCUUCCUUGUGCUAAAAAAACGGAGGAAGUCUGUCUGCCACAGGGCAGAGGGUGGUAUCCAAAGGGUCUCCUCUCCUUGAGUGACUGGUUCCUCCAUUGGAUCUCAGCUCGUAGCUCCUGACCUCAAGCAAGUGCUACUGAAGUGGAAAUGUCUUAUAUCCUGUUUUGUGAUUCCCUGCCUCAGAGCUGAGUCACCCCUGCCUGAAGAAAGGAUCCUUCAUCCCAAGGCUCACUCACUUCCUAUCCAAGCCAUCUCAAGUGAAGACCCAAAGAUCUUCAACCAAGCUGGGCAAGUGUUCAACCAUUGAGCUACACCCCCGACCCUCCCUUCCGUUUGGCUGCAACAAUAAACCAGUUGUGUCUAGGAGAUCCAACGCCGGUCAAGCCGCUCUACCCACUGAGCCAUCUGGCUGCCUGUCAAGAAGACAAACUUCUGUUGCGCAGUGCUCAGGCACCUGUGAAGACAGGAACUUGGGGAUGAAUGAGGAGAGAGCCUAGAGAGAAAGGGCCCUCGUCUGGCGCACAGAGUCCCUGAACAGAUUUGGACUGGCUUAGCAUGACCAGCAGUCUCAGCCAUAGACGCGUUCUCUCUCUCUCUCUCUCUCUCUCUCUCUCUCUCUCUCUCUCCUGCCUGUCCAGAAAUAGUUUCCGGGAACCGAGGUGCUUCCCCGCCAGCCAGCGGGGAGAUAAAGCUGCCCGUGUGUGUCGCUUGUCUUGGCUGCCUCUCAGUUGACACCUCUGACAGGCCGCUUUGAUCUCGGGUUAUCAAGGCCUAACCCCGAGCCUGGCCUGCUCUGCCAGCCCUCACUCACUGGGGAAAAGGGCAUUUCAGAAGGUCAGUUCGGGGAGGGGCAGGCUUCUCCUCAUGCCCAGCUGGCCUUGAAGCAUGGGUGCUGGAUGUAGGAAUUGUACCCAGUUUUACUCUGCAGCGGUGAUGGAUGGGGGGGCUGGAGGGAGAUGGGGGCAGGGUCUUGGCUGAGAAAUGAAGCAUUCAAGUGGUGCCUACAGCAUACGGGGUGUUUACUUCAUGUCCUCAUGGGCCUGGGCCUUCACCACAGAUAAAGAGUCCUGGCUGCUGAUUUAUUGGCCAGCCCAGUGUAUGGCUGGCAAGUUUCUCCUCAGACUCGGUUUCCACCCCCUAUCUGGUAAAAUAUAGAGGAUUUUUAUAACUAUGGACACCUCCUCCUCUAGACUAAACCUCUAGAGAACCAUUGUACAAACUGGGUGGAAGCAGAAAAGAGGCUGUCUGAGGAGAGGGGGCCUCUGAGACGAUAUCUCAGCUCUGUUAGUGAUUAAUCACCACCACCACCACCACCACCACCACCACCACCAUCAUCAUCACCACCAUCAUCAUCAUCACCACCACCACCACCAUCAUCAUCAUCGUGUUUGAGACAUGGUCUCAGUCCAGUCCAGACAGACCUCCAUCUGACUACUCUCCUGAAUGCCUAAGGCCCAGCAUACACCACUACCUUCCGGGCUCUCGUUCUGUAAGAGAUGAAGAAUGACGUGUGGUGAGACAUCCCUCACUGGAUAGAUGGAGGCUAGAGGCUCACAGGCAAAGGUCAUCUGUGGUUGCAGA
rnacentral:lncRNA from 1 species